GUUUGAUCCUGGCUCGAAUGAACGCUGGCGGCAGGCCUAACACAUGCAAGUCGAACGGAGUUAUAUUGUAGCUUGCUAUGGUAUAACUUAGUGGCAGACGGGUGAGUAAUGUAUAGGAAUCUACCUAGUAGUACGGAAUAAUUGUUGGAAACGGCAACUAAUACCGUAUACGCCCUACGGGGGAAAAAUUUAUUGCUAUUAGAUGAGCCUAUAUUAGAUUAGCUAGUUGGUGGAGUAAUAGCCUACCAAGGCAAUGAUCUAUAGCUGAUCUGAGAGGAUGAUCAGCCACACUGGAACUGAGAUACGGUCCAGACUCCUACGGGAGGCAGCAGUGGGGAAUAUUGGACAAUGGGCGAAAGCCUGAUCCAGCCAUGCCGCAUGAGUGAAGAAGGCCUUUGGGUUGUAAAGCUCUUUUAGUGAGGAAGAUAAUGACGGUACUCACAGAAGAAGUCCUGGCUAACUCCGUGCCAGCAACCGCGGUAAUACGGAGAGGGCUAGCGUUAUUCGGAAUUAUUGGGCGUAAAGGGCGCGUAGGCGGAUUAGUAAGUUAAAAGUGAAAUCCCAAGGCUCAACCUUGGAAUUGCUUUUAAAACUGCUAAUCUAGAGAUUGAAAGAGGAUAGAGGAAUUCCUAGUGUAGAGGUGAAAUUCGUAAAUAUUAGGAGGAACACCAGUGGCGAAGGCGUCUAUCUGGUUCAAAUCUGACGCUGAGGCGCGAAGGCGUGGGGAGCAAACAGGAUUAGAUACCCUGGUAGUCCACGCUGUAAACGAUGAAUGUUAAAUAUGGGAAGUUUUACUUUCUGUAUUACAGCUAACGCGUUAAACAUUCCGCCUGGGGACUACGGUCGCCAGAUUAAAACUCAAAGGGAUUGACGGGGACCCGCACAA
rnacentral:rRNA from 1 species